ensembl:lncRNA
AUACCUUGGCCAGAGCAUAACCGAUUAUCUUCACCCAAGAGACCUACUGUUGGUCAAUCGUUUUGGUUUUAAAGGUAAAUACAUUGUUAGUCACAAUGUUUAGUUACUGGGCCAAAAGGAAAAUAAUAAUGAAAAGAGUUGAGAGGGACAAACAGGACAUUCACUUGAAUCACUACAUUCUACAGAAGUUGCAUUGAUUCCAGAAAACCAGGAAAAUGUUGAGCCAUCUGUAGACUUCAGAGCUGGUAUGUAAAAUGUAUUGCUGUGAUGCUUAAUUUGUGAUCCUGUAACUAAACUGUACACUUUGUUAGAUUUUCAAAUUUCUGUUCCCUCUUUCUCAGAACCAGGUUUCUCCCCAGUAAUCCAGACUCCACUUCACAGAGCCAAGAGUUUGAGUACAAGGCACUUGACUUUCUGGAUAAAAGGUGUGGAGGUGUGUUGUACAUAUCAUUAGCUUUGCACAGUUCAAUUAUUGUUUCAUUACUGAAUAUGCAGUCUCUGCAGUGAAAUUAAAGCUGUUAUGUUUUUUCCCCCAGUUCGUCAAGUACUAAACUUUACACCCCCAGCAGAAAAUGUACCCUGGCAGCAAAUGGGUGAAAAGGCUGGAGGAGAAAGUCAUCGCUCCGUUAUUGGCCCUUGGACUCCCCUGGCGUCGCAUGUACAGCAUGAAGUUUUCAGCAAUGAAGUGCCUUUAGUUUUCCAGAACGAGAACCAAGCCCUGAGGGAGGAGAACCAAGCCCUGAGGGAGGAGAGCCAAGCCCUGAGGGAGGGGAGCCAAGCCCUGAGGGAGGGGAGCCAAGCCCUGAGGGAGGGGAGCCAAGCCCUGAGGGAGGGGAGCCAAGCCCUGAGGGAGGGGAGCCAAGCCCUGAGGGAGGGGAGCCAAGCCCUGAGGGAGGGGAGCCAAGCCCUGAGGGAGGGGAGCCAAGCCCUGAGGGAGGGGAGCCAAGCCCUGAGGGAGGGGAGCCAAGCCCUGAGGGAGGGGAGCCAAGCCCUGAGGGAGGGGAGCCAAGCCCUGAGGGAGGGGAGCCAAGCCCUGAGGGAGGGGAGCCAAGCCCUGAGGGAGGGGAGCCAAGCCCUGAGGGAGGGGAGCCAAGCCCUGAGGGAGGGGAGCCAAGCCCUGAGGGAGGGGAGCCAAGCCCUGAGGGAGGGGAGCCAAGCCCUGAGGGAGGGGAGCCAAGCCCUGAGGGAGGGGAGCCAUGCACGAGCAGCUUCAGGUGACAGCGGCUCGCUUCAAGAGCAGGUGAAGCUAUUUGGGACAAUGCUGAAGAUGUUUGCUCGCACUGGGCAAUCAGGUGCAGAUCAGACCCUAGUGCUGCGACGUCUUGGAGAGUUUGGCAAUGUUGUGCGUAGCAUGGAAAACAAAAUGGACACUAUGCUGCAACAUUUCAGUGCCAAUGUGUCUGUUGGAGAGCUAUCCCUGCCAGGGGAUGUUACUCCCCCUAGACACCCAGGAAGAUUUGGUGUUUCUUGACAGCAUUUUGAGGGGGGAUAAAGAGCUCCAGGAACGAUUUCUUCGGUUUUUGGCUAUCAAAUGUGGGAGGGACCUGAAGACAACAGUGUGGAAGCCAGAAAUUCAACACUGCUGUUUGCUCCUUGGGGUUUAAGGCCGGGUGUCUCUGUAAAGCACUUUGUGACAACUGCUGUUGUAAAAAGCGCUUUAUAAAUACAUUUUGAUUGAUUGAUUGAGGUCAGCAUUGCAGUUAUAAUGGUCUGUUCUACUACUGUUUUUACCUCUGUAUUUUUAUAUAUGUAUAUCAAGUUUUGUUUAUCACAGAUACAAGAGACACAUCUUAAUGCAGCAUGGUGUAAAUAUUGUGCUCCAGGUCAGCAAUGCCAUUAUAAUGGAAUAUUCUACUCUAGAGCUUUACUCAAUGGCUUGAAAAUGUGAUGUUCUACCUCGUUUUAUUUGGCAUCCUGCACAUUCUUUGGUACCAAAUAUCCUCAUUACUUGUUAUGUUUACUGGUAAUUAUUUUCAUCCCAGAGCUGACCUCUAUAUUAUUAACAAUGAUUGUGUUUGUGUUAUAAUUUGCUUGUAUGGCUGUUCUUUUUUUUUUAACCACCAUUUUAUUGGAAACCUGCAUGUUCUGUGUGUAUUUAUGCCUAUUAUUUAUUUCAGUGAUCUGACACAUCUUGUUUGAAUGACAGUUACUGUACUUUGAAAUGUGGAAUUAAAACACCAAAUGGAA